AGAUACCCCACUAUGCCUAGCCCUAAAUCUAGAUACCUCCCAUCACACAUGUAUCCGCCUGAGAACUACGAGCACAAACGCUUAAAACUCUAAGGACUUGGCGGUGCCCCAAACCCACCUAGAGGAGCCUGUUCUAUAAUCGAUAAUCCACGAUUCACCCAACCACCCCUUGCCAGCACAGCCUACAUACCGCCGUCGCCAGCCCACCUCUAAUGAAAGAACAACAGUGAGCUCAAUAGCCCCUCGCUAAUAAGACAGGUCAAGGUAUAGCCUAUGGGGUGGGAGAAAUGGGCUACAUUUUCUAACAUAGAACAAACGAAAAAGGACGUGAAACCCGCCCUUAGAAGGAGGAUUUAGCAGUAAAGUGAGAUCAUACCCCCUAAGCUCACUUUAAGACGGCUCUGAGGCACGUACACACCGCCGGU
rnacentral:rRNA from 1 species